GCUCUGAAGACAAGUUACAGGACAUGAGAAGAAACCCCAGGUGGCCUCCCCAUCAGCAGGUGAGCGGGUAGAGUCCUGACCAGAUGCCAGAGCAGUUUAAGAUGUCACUUCAUCCAGAGGGCAGAGGACAAGCAGGAGACCAACAGAGGCCCAGUUGGUCCAAGGAGCACUGGGGUUCUUCCAGCUCACAAAUCCUACCAGCCUAUGAUUUCGAAGUUAAAAUCUCCAGGCACUGGCUGGAAGCACCGGAAGUCAGAGGAGGAAGAGAUGUGAGUGGGUUAGAACCUCAGGGAAGGCUCUGGGGAGGAGGCGGCUCUCCACGAGGCCGUGCGGGUGCCGCGUGCUUGUUGUGCAGGAGGUGGGAGGACAUUUAUGGGCAAGAAAAUGGGGCUGAGCAGAGGCUGUUCACGGUACAGGGAGGAGGAGGCCAGCAUCGCUGGAACGCGCUGUCUCUGUCUCGGACAAACGGGAUCAGACGUGUGAGGUCGUGGUGGUGCCUGAAAACCAGAACUGACUCCGUGGGAAGACUCAGAACCAGAUGCUCCAGCACCGUUAUCCCAGGGGCCUCGCCCACACCCCCAGGGCGGUGGAGAUUCUCUGAGGUCCAGAAGGAGGGCAGGGACAGCUGCAUCCCAGGAAGGAAGACUUGCUGGAGGAGACGGACCGCACAACGGCUUCCAGCCAGGGAUGCCCGCAUGAGCACUGAGGGCCAGGGUCCCGGUUCCUUCCUGCUUCCCCCAAACCCUAUCUAG
rnacentral:lncRNA from 1 species